GGCCUGGCUGGGCGGUCUUGCCGAAAGGUAAGCACUGCUCUGGUUGGGCCUUUCCUUCUGGGGAACUUGUGUGCUCUUAAUUGAGUGCGCAGGGGAGCCAGGACUUUUACUUUGAAAAAAUUAGAGUGUUUAAAGCAGGCCUACGCUUGAAUACAUUAGCAUGGAAUAAUAGAAUAGGAC
rnacentral:rRNA from 1 species